GGUAAUACAUAUAUACACAAGUCUUUCUAUUUCAUUUUUUUGUUAACUAUAAUUUGAAAUUGAGUUAAGUAUAUGAAUACAUGUUUUGUUGUUCAGAUUGUAACGGAGCAUGUGGUGCGAGGUGCCGUUUAUCAUCUCGUCCAAAUCUCUGCAAAAGAGCUUGUGGAACUUGCUGUCAACGUUGCAACUGUGUCCCACCUGGUACUUCUGGAAACCAAGAAAUGUGUCCCUGCUAUGCUAGCUUAACUACUCGCGGUGGCAAACGCAAGUGCCCCUAGACUUCAUCAUGCAUAAAUUUCAUAUUAUUAUAUGAAAUCAUCAUAAAAUAAUGACUUCUUGAGUGAAGCGUGAAAGAAUAAUGAUGUGAAAGAAUAUCAAACACUUUUUUCAAUUCUUGUUGAAUCAUCGAGUCUUGACGACGUUAUGUAUAUUUAGAUACUACAAAAUUAAAAACUAUUGUGAUUUUCUGAUUACUUUCCCUUAAGGUGUACUUGCCUUCUUUGUAAUGUUUAAUCGUUUAUAUCAAUAAGAACUAUUGUUUUGUGCUUUCAUCAUUUUAUCAUAAUAAUUUCAUCUAUUGAUACCAUGUUCUUGUAUGUGACUUUAUAUUUAAUAUUCAACUUUUCAAAUUGUGAUGUUUUUAGUUGGUUAAAUUAUGCAUAACAUAACAUAGAAGGUGUUUUUAAAAAUAAAAAGUUGUUAUUAUAGAACUAUUCAUUAACAUCAUUCAUUUGUACACUUUCAAAACCAUACAAACAUGGAUAGAAUCUUAAAGAAGUAGGGAACACUUCUUACGCAUUUUGAAUAAAAAAUGUUUUAAUUAUGUAUCAUGAAAAACAUAUCACUAUGUUUUUAAAAAAAUUACACACGUGGGUGUAUAUAAUAUGACUAUAAUUUUCUAUUGUAAAUAGAUAAUAACAAAGAUUUGGUGAGAAAGCGUUUGAUUAUUUAUCUAAGUUACAUCUGAUUAUUUUUUUAAUCUGUUCAAUUUGGUAUAUACGUGUAAUCUUGAUUCUUCCAAAUUUGUUAAGCUAAUUUAGUUUUUUUUUUUAAAUUGAGAGAACUUAACAUUUUUUUCAUUAAUUUUUGCUUUUCCUUUUUAGUUUUUAAAAUAUAAUUUUCGAUCCUGACUAUUUUAAUAAAUUGUUUCAAAGGUUUAGAUUUAAUUUGUUUCGCAAAUUUUAUAAAGUCUGAAGAAUCUUAUGAUAUGUAUUAAGGUUAUAACAAGAAUAAUUUUUAUUGGAAUUUGGUUUUUUCCUAGCAUUUUAAUAAAAGGUGAAAUAAUUUAAUCAAUUAAAUUUAUUUGAAUUUUAAUAAAACAUAAUUGUGAGUUUCGAUGAAAAGGAAUUUAGCUUCAUCAUAAAAAUAAAAAUAAAUAAAAAGAAAAAAUGAAAACGAAAGUAAAAUUUGCUUAAAACUAAAAAAAAGGAACAUACGUGACAAAUAGCAAUCGGUGAUGAUGUUGACUGCUGCUGACUCACACAUAAAAGCAACCAAACAAAGUUUUGUUUUUUUCGCAUGGCAAUUACACAUAGAAUAAUUUCGAACACGUAUGAGUAUUUUUUAUAUAUAUAUUAUCAGCUAUUCAUAUUAAUGAUUUUUUAUAUAUAUAUUAUCAGCUAUUUAUAUGAAUAUUUCUUUUAUAUAUGUUAUCAGCUAUUUAUAUGAUUAAAUUAUUUUUAUAUAUACUAAUGUUACGCAUGCACUCUUCAUUCCACGUAUUUCAGGAAAUAAAAAAUAAGAAAGCAAACUGGAACUGUGAGAUAUGUAAAAGUCUUGGUUUUGAUGGGGUAAUGUUAAUUUAAUUAAUAGAAAAAAUAAUAAUUAAAAACUAAUUUAAUAAUUAAUGAUAAAUUAAUAUGAGAAUCAAUAUUAAAAAAAACUUUAAUAAAUUUGCAAAAGUCUAACCAACACUAUGUAGGAUCAACUCCAAUAAAUUAUCAUCAAUAAUAAUUUGUAAUCUAUGCUAUAUAAGGUUAUUUAUUUAUUAAAUAAUAUAAGUUUUUAAUUAUUAGAGAAUUCUGAUGUUUAAUGUGUAUUUUUAUGAUAUUAACAUUUUAAAAUAUCUUAUAUGUUAAAAUAUCUCUAGCCACACUUUUUUUUUCUUCUAUAAUUUUUGCAAAAUCACAGUUUUUUUUACUCAUAAAUGACUAACAUAUUAUCCUCCAUAUACCUUAUUUUUUAACAUUUUGAGUCAUUCCAUCACCAAAAGUUCUUGUGCAUGUUGUUGAUGCUACUAUAUUAGUUGUUUAUAUAACUACAUUGAUAUAUAAAAGGUAAUGUUAGUGGUUCUGUUAUUCAAUAAAAGAAAAAAUUCUGACUAAUUUUUUCGGGAUCAUUAUCUUAAUACUAUUUUUCUCAUCUCAAUAAUAUUUAAAAAUAGUUAUAUAUUAAUUUUAUAUAUUUUAAAGUAAAUAAGAUAUAUAAGUGUAUAAAAAUAUUUAAUUUAAAAUUUUAUUAUCAUGAAAAUUAACAUUUAAAAUCAGUAUUUGCUAACAUUUAAAAGAUGAUAUUAUUUAAUAAAUAACAUUAGAUAAUGGAUUACAAAUUGAUUGGUAUUUAUGAUAUUUUAUUAGAGUUGAUUUUUAAAAAUUAUUAGAGUUAGACGGAUGCUGAUAAUUAAAGUUGAUUUUUAAAUAUUGACUCUCAUAUUAAUUCAUCAUUAAUUAUUAUAUUUUUUUUAUAUCAAUUAAAUUAAUACUAAACCAAAUUUAAAUAUAAAUAUAAAUUUAAUAUUAAUUUAAUUUGUAUUAUUUGGUUAAUGCUAAUAAUAAUAAUAAUUUUGUUUUCAAUAAAAAAAAUACAAAUUAACAAUUAUUGUCAUCAUUAUAGUACUCACCCCCUACUCUUCAUAUAUCACACAACUAUAAAUACCCCUCACCAUGCUUCUCAUUCCAAUAACAAUACACAUACGCAUCUCCAUCUAAACUCCACAAUUUAGCCAUGGCUCUUUCUAAGCUCAUAGUUGCUUCCCUUCUUGCGUCGCUUCUCCUGCUUCAUCUCGUUGAUGCUCAUCAAUCGGUAUAAAAAGAUUCAAAUACAUUGUUUGUUUUGUUUUCUUUCUUUAUGGAUCAUAUCAUAUAACAAUAUGAAGCAAAGUUAGAUUGAUUUUCUUGAGUUGUUUCAACUAGGGUUAACUAACCAAUUUAUGCAUGGUUUUGGGGGAACCGCAGGUGCAAGAACAAACGCAGGGUUCUCUUUUUCAACAGAUAGGUAAUACAUAUAUACACUUUUUUUAUGAACUAAUAAUUUGAAAUUGAGUUAAGUAUAAUGAAUACAUGUUUUGAUUGUUCAGACUGUAACCAAGCGUGUGGUGUGAGAUGUCAUUUAUCAUCUCAUCCAAAUCUAUGCAAAAGAGCUUGUGGAACUUGUUGUCAACGUUGCAACUGCGUCCCACCUGGUACUUCUGGAAACCAAGAAAUGUGUCCCUGCUAUGCUAGGUUAACUACUCAUGAUGGCAAACGCAAGUGUCCUUAGACUACAUCAUGCAUAAAUUUCAUAUUAUAUAUAUAACGUGUUCUUGAGUGAAUUAAUAAUAAUAAUAAUAAUAUUGAAUCCAUUUUUUCAAUUAUUGUUGGAUCAUCGAGUAUUCACUACGUGAUUAUGUGUAUUUAGAUACCACAAAACUAAGAACUACGUAGUGAAUUUCAGAUUACUUUUCCUUUAUAAGGUGUAUUUGUCUGUCUUGUAAUGUUCUAUCGUUAUAUUAAUGAGAAUUAUUAUUUCAUACUUUCAUCAUUUUAUCCUAUGAUACCAUCUUCUAGUGUUUGAUUUUGUACUUAAUAUUUAUUUUUUCAAAUUAUGUUGUUUUUAGUUGGCUAAAUUCAACAAGAAGAAGUAGUCUUUAAAAAUAAAAAGUUAUUAUGAUAGAGUUCUUCAAAAUUCAUUUCCAUACUCUCGAAACCAAACAAACAUGGAUCAAAUCUUAAAGGAAUAGACGAAUAUUUCUUACACGUUUAAAAAUUAUUUUAAUUAUAUAUCAUUAAAAAUUAAAAAUAUAUCACUAAUUGUUUUUAAAACAAAUACACACAUGUGUAUAUAUUAUGACUAUAUUUUUUUAUUGUAAAUAGAUAAUAAAAAUAACAAAGAUUAGUUGAAUAACACAUCUUUCCCUUAAAGUGGAAGCGAACAAAGGUAUACGAGGACAAUUUUUUUAUAAAUAUUUUUAAAUAUAAAAUUAGCUUUCUUUUAUAAUAAUAAAAAUGAUUAUUUUAUAUGAUUUAUCAAAUUUUUAAUUUAUGCAUAAAUUAAAUUUAUUUUAAGAUUUUUUUCUGUCAUUUAAAACUAUUAUAAAGAAGUAUAUUCUAACUUCCUAAACUUUUCAAUUAUUGUUGGAUUAUCAAGUCUUCACUUCAAGAUUAUGUGUAUUUAGAUAAUACAAACUACAAAAUUAAGAACUACGUUGUGAAUUUUUUAUUACUUUUUCUUUAUACGGCUUUUCCUUUCUAAGGUGUAUCUUAGUAGUGUUUCAUCGUUAUAUCAAUGAGAAUUAUUAUUUUAUAUUUUAAUCAUUUUAUUCAUAAUAAUUUUCUCUAUAAUACCAUGUUUGAUUUUGUAUUUAAUAUUUAUUUUUUCACAAGUAUGUUGUUUUUACCCGCCAAGUUCAGCAUAGUAGAAUGAGUCUUUAAAAAUAAAAAGAAUAAAAAGUUAUGACAGAGUUCUUCAUUCACUAACGUAAUUAAUUUUCACACUUUCAAAACCAAAUAAACACAUGGAUCAAAUUUUAAAGGAGUAGACAAAUAUUUCUUACAUGUUUGAAUAAAAUUAUUCUAAUUAUAUAUCAUUAAAAAUUAAAAAUAUAUAACUAUUUAAAAAUAAAUAAAUUACACACGUGUGUAUGUAUUAUGAUUAUAAUUUUUAUUAUGAUUAUAAUAAAAAUAACAAAGAUUUGUUGAUAAAAUGUUGGAUUAUUUUCCCAAGGUAAAUCUGAUUAAUUUUUUUAGUCUGUUCAAUUUAAUAAAAAAAAUAAUUGUGAGUCUCGAUGAAGACCAAUUUAGUUUCAUCUGAAAAAUAAAAAAAUAAAAACUAAAAUUAAAAACAAAAGUAAAACACAACCAAACGAGGUUUUUUUUUCAUGACAAUUAUACAUGGAAUAAUUCCGAACACAUAUGACGAAUUUUUUUAUAUAUUAUCAACUAUUUCUAUGAAUAAUUAUAUAUAUAUAUAUUAUUAGCUAUUUAUAUGAUUAUAUUUUUUUAUAUACUAUCAGCUAUUUAUAUGACUAAAUUAAUUUAUAAAAAAUAAUGUUUCUUAUCUUUCAUUAGUUUUGUUAAAAUUUCUGUCUAACUUUUUGGAUCUUCUGUCCCAAUAUUAUUUUUCUCUUCUCAAUUAUAUUUAAAAAUAAUUAUAUAUAAUUUUUAUACAUAUUAGAGCAAAUAAAAUAUAUAAGUACAUAAGAGCUGAUAAGAAACAUCAUAAAAAAACUGAUAUUACUUAAUAAAUAAAUAACGUUUAACAAGCAUAGAUUACAAAUUAUUAUGGAUGAUAAUUUAUUGGAGUUGAUUUUUAAAUAAUAACUCUCAUAUUAAUUUAUCAUUAAUUAUUAACUUAAUUUUUAAUUAAAAAGUUUUGUAUCAAUUAAAUUAACAUUAAAUCAAAUAUUAAUUUCAUUUAUUAAUGUAUAAUAUGCUUUGAUAUUGUUGGGAGCAGUAAUUAAUGAGGUGUUAUGCUAUGAUAAAUGAAUUGAAAAAUCUAAUAUGGUAAAAAAUGAGGUAUUAAAGUUAUACUCAAAUAGGAGGUUAACAAUUCACGAUUUAGGAGUUGGAUAAUAUUGCUUUUCAAAAUGUUUUGAAUUUUUCCUUUUGAGGAAAUAGAAAAUAAGGAAGAAAUCUGGGACUGUGAAAGAUGUAAAAAUUAAUUAAUUAAAUUAAAAAUUAAUUUAAUAAUUAAUGAUAAAUUAAUAUGAAAAUCAAUAUUUAAAAAUCAACUUUAAUAAAUUAGGAUAAGUCUAACAAACCAUGUAGAACUUUUAAAAAUCAACUCUAAUAAAUUAUCAUCAAUAAUAAUUUGUAAUCUAAGGGCAUAUAACGUUAUUUAUUGUUUUUUAUUUAUUAAAUAAUAUCAGUUUUUAAUAACUAGAGAAUACUGAUGUUAAAUGUAUAUUUUUGUGAUAUUAACAUUUUAAAAUAUUUUAUAUGUUAAAAUAUUUGCAACCACACUUUGUUUUUUUAUAUAAUUUUUGCAAAACCAAAGUUUUUUUAAUCAUAAAUGAGCAACAUAUUAUCUUUCAUAUACCUAAUUUUUAACAAUCUAAGUCCUUCCAUCCCCAAAAGUUCUUGUACAUGUUGUUGAUGUUACUAUAUUAGUUGUUUAUAUAAAUACAUUGAUAUAUAAACAAUAAUGUUUCUUAUCUUUCACCAAGUUUUGUCAAAAAUUCUGACUAGCUUUUCCGGAAUCAUUAUCCCAAUAUUAUUUUUCUCAUCUCAAUAAUAUUUUUUAAAAAAAGUAUAUAUGGAUUUUAUAUAUUUUAAAGUAAAUAAGAUAUAUAAGUGUUUAAAAAUAUUUAAUUUAAAAUUUUAUUAUCAUGAAAAUUAACAUUUAAAAUUAGUAUUUGCUGACAUUUAAAAGCUGGUAUUAUUUAAUAAAUAAAUAGCAUAACAUUAUAUACAAUGGAUUGCAAAUUGAUUGUUAUUGAUAAUAUUUUACUAGAGUUGAUUUUUAACAAAUUAUAAGAGUUAGACGGAUGUUGAUUAUUAUGGUUGAUAUCUAAAUAUUGGUUCUCGUAUUAAUUCAUCAUUAAUUAUUAAAUGAUUUUUUUUAUAUCAAUUAAAUUAACAUUAAAUCAAAUGUAAAGAUAAAGUUAACAUAAAUUUAAUUUGUAUUAUUUGGUUAAUGUUAAUAAUAAUAAUAAUAAUUUUGUCUUCAAUAAAAAAUUUAACAAUUAUUGUCUUUAUACCUCACACAACUAUAAAUACCCCCUCUUCAUGCUUCUCAUUUCAAUAACAAUACACAUACACAUCUUCAAUUAAACUCCAUAGUUAAUUACCUUUAGUCAUGGCUCUUUCUAAGUUCAUACUUGCUUCCCUUGUUGUCUCGUUUCUCGUGCUUCAUCUUGUUGAUGCUCAUCAAUCGGUAUAAAAGAUUCAAAUACUUUGCUUGUUUUGUUUUCUUUCUUUAUUGAUCAUAUCAUAUAACAAUAUGAACCAAAGUUAGGUUGAUUUUCUUGAGUUGUUUCAACUAGGGUUAACUAACCAAUUUAUGCAUGAUUUUGGGGGAACCGUAGGUGCAAGAACAAAUGCAAGGUUCUCUUUUUCAGCAGAUAGGUAAUACAUAUAUACACAUUUUUUUAUGAACUAAUAAUUUGAAAUUGAGUUAAGUAUAAUGAAUACAUGUUUUGAUAUUCAGACUGUAACCAAGCAUGUGGUGUGAGGUGUCAUUUAUCAUCUCAUCCAAAUCUAUGCGAAAGAGCUUGUGGAACUUGUUGUCAACGCUGCAACUGCGUCCCACCUGGUACUUCUGGAAACCAAGAAAUGUGUCCCUGCUAUGCUAG
rnacentral:lncRNA from 1 species